GACGAACGCUGGCGGCGUGCCUAAUACAUGCAAGUAGAACGCUGAAGGAGGAGCUUGCUUCUCCGGAUGAGUUGCGAACGGGUGAGUAACGCGUAGGUAACCUGCCUGGUAGCGGGGGAUAACUAUUGGAAACGAUAGCUAAUACCGCAUAACAGUAGAUGUUGCAUGACAUUUGCUUAAAAGGUGCAAUUGCAUCACUACCAGAUGGACCUGCGUUGUAUUAGCUAGUUGGUGAGGUAACGGCUCACCAAGGCGACGAUACAUAGCCGACCUGAGAGGGUGAUCGGCCACACUGGGACUGAGACACGGCCCAGACUCCUACGGGAGGCAGCAGUAGGGAAUCUUCGGCAAUGGACGGAAGUCUGACCGAGCAACGCCGCGUGAGUGAAGAAGGGUUUCGGAUCGUAAAGCUCUGUUGUAAGAGAAGAACGAGUGUGAGAGUGGAAAGUUCACACUGUGACUGUAUCUUACCAGAAAGGGACGGCUAACUACGUG
rnacentral:rRNA from 1 species